rnacentral:tRNA from 1 species
AAGACACUAGUAAUAACUAUUACACCGCCUUGUCAAGGCGGAAUUGUAGGUGAAAACCCUGCGUGUCUUG